rfam:Ictidomys tridecemlineatus contig111030, whole genome shotgun sequence.
GGGGAUAUAGCUCAGUUGGCGGAGUGCUUGCCUUGCAUGCACAAGGCCCUGGGUUCAAUCCCCAGCACCCCCC